GGUUCAAACAUAAAAGGUGGCUUCGGCUACCACUUACAGAUGGACCCGCGGCGCAUAGCUAGUUGGUGAGGUAACGGCUCACCAAGGCAACGAUGCGUAGCCGACCUGAGAGGGUGAUCGGCCACACUGGGACUGAGACAAAGCCCAGACUCCUACGGGAGGCAGCAGUAGGGAAUCUUCCGCAAUGGACGAAAGUCUGACGGAGCAACGCCGCGUGAGUGAUGAAGGUUUUCGGAUCGUAAAGCUCUGUUGUUAGGGAAGAACAAGUACCGUUCGAAUAGGGCGGUACCUUGACGGUACCUAACCAGAAAGCCACGGCUAACUACGUGCCAGCAGCCGCGGUAAUACGUAGGUGGCAAGCGUUGUCCGGAAUUAUUGGGGCGUAAAGGGCUCGCAGGCGGUUUCUUAAGUCUGAUGUGAAAGCCCCCGGCUCAACCGGGGAGGGUCAUUGGAAACUGGGGAACUUGAGUGCAGAAGAGGAGAGUGGAAUUCCACGUGUAGCGGUGAAAUGCGUAGAGAUGUGGAGGAACACCAGUGGCGAAGGCGACUCUCUGGUCUGUAACUGACGCUGAGGAGCGAAAGCGUGGGGAGCGAACAGGAUUAGAUACCCUGGUAGUCCACGCCGUAAACGAUGAGUGCUAAGUGUUAGGGGGUUUCCGCCCCUUAGUGCUGCAGCUAACGCAUUAAGCACUCCGCCUGGGGAGUACGGUCGCAAGACUGAAACUCAAAGGAAUUGACGGGGGCCCGCACAAGCGGUGGAGCAUGUGGUUUAAUUCGAAGCAACGCGAAGAACCUUACCAGGUCUUGACAUCCUCUGACAAUCCUAGAGAUAGGACGUCCCCUUCGGGGGCAGAGUGACAGGUGGUGCAUGGUUGUCGUCAGCUCGUGUCGUGAGAUGUUGGGUUAAGUCCCGCAACGAGCGCAACCCUUGAUCUUAGUUGCCAGCAUUCAGUUGGGCACUCUAAGGUGACUGCCGGUGACAAACCGGAGGAAGGUGGUGAAGACGUCAAAUGCAUCAUGCCCCUUAUGACCUGGGCUACACACGUGCUACAAUGGACAGAACAAAGGGCAGCGAAACCGCGAGGUUAAGCCAUUCCCACAAAUCUGUUCUCAGUUCGGAUCGCAGUCUGCAACUCGACUGCGUGUAGC
rnacentral:rRNA from 1 species